UCUCCUGUGCUCUGUCUUUUUCUCCAUGUCCCUCCCUGUCCCUCUCCCGACCCUAGACCUCUGCCUACUGCUGCAGGCUCAGGGACUGCUGGGUGAGCUCCUGGCCUUGGGGGAACUGGAGCCGGGAAGGCCCAGAGUUGAGAAGACUCUGCGCGGACAACCUGCAAGGCGGUCAGCUCACCUGCUGCCAAGGGCACCCCAGGAGAGGGCGCCCCGCAGACCGUGAGCCUGGGACUGCCCCGUGCCCGCAUGGCAGCUUCCUGCUUCCCUGAGGGUGCAGGCGAUGGGAACUGUGCCAGCCAGGCACGGUGCCCCCGCCCCUGCCCAAGUGUCAUGGAAAAUCCAGAGCCUUGAUCUUUGUUCUUGAUGCUCCUCCCCAAUUUUUACAACUGGAAACUUGCGGCCACUUUGUUCCCAUCAGCUGGGGAGAGAGGUGUAGUGUGGAGUGGGGGGGUGACUGAGUCAGCAGGUGGUGCAGCUCUUGGGGCUACCAAGAGCCAGCCGUGACCCCUUCCUUCAUGCCCCACACUCUCAGUACCAAUAAACAGACACCACUUCCGUGCUGGGAGGCAGAGGGGGCGGGAUGGGCGCAGCCUUCGUGUGGGUCCUGGGCCAGCUGCCCCCCUCACCCAGGAUCGCACCCCCAGUCAUCCAGGUCCACGGGUCCCCUUGCUCCAAACACCUCUCUACCCGGUGGCCAGCGGUGCCUGGCCCUUCUCAUUCCUCAGGGCAGGUCCAGCGUGUCUGUUUACCAUGGGAUCCAAUUAGAAGUUUAUGUGGAGAGAGGCCCAGCCCCCUUCUCUGGAGCCCAGCACUGUCCUUCCCUCAAACCCCUGCUUCCCCAGGACAAGGCCUGCCUCCGAGGAGGGACACACCUGGGAGCUGAGCCCUCCGCCCUCGCCCUCCUGCAUCUCCUGGCACCGUCAGCUCGUGAGAUGUGUCCUUGCUUCCUGUGAUCGUCGAGGUGAGCCUGGGCAGCCUUCCCCUGCAGGUGAGAGAGGACAGAGGUGCCGAAGCUAGGAGGAGGAGGGCCCCGGUCCUGCCAGCAGCUUCCACACGCACAAACCAGCCCCCGACUCAGUCCACCCACAGGUGCUGUGAGAUGAGACGGACCUGAGGAAGCUGCUAUCUGGCUGGGGGUCAGAGGAGGUUCCUCUGCAACGUGGCUCUGAUGUCGGUGCCCUUGGCCUGGGUCGUGAGCGCCUCUCUCAGCCAGUCCAUUGCUGUAGGCACCACCGUGCAAGUGACAAGUCCCUGUUUCUGUCCAGCCUAUUCCUCCUCUUUGAGCUCUGCCUCCUAGAAGCAGACUUGACAUUGCUACGUGAAGCCUCCCAGAUGUUUCAAACGUGACCCGUCGCAGGGAGAACUCUGGAUUCUCACCCCAUGUUGCCCGCGUCUUGCCUGUAUCACCUCCACCUUCCUAGCUGCUGAGGCUGUGGUCCUGGAUUCCUCCCUACUUCUUAUAGCCAACUUACCAUCAAGUCCAGCAAAUCCUUCCUCCAAAGUGGGUCCUCCAAAGUGUGUCUCAGUUGCCACCACCUGGUUUCCUUUUGAACUACCAUCCUCCCUUACCUGGACUCUGCGGUGGCCUUGCAGCCCGUCUGCCUGCUUCCAAGGGAGGCUCCUCCGUUUCAAUCACAAUGAAGCAUUAAAUAAUCAUCAUUCAGACCACAAACCCUUUCCCCACAAGCCUUUCAAUGUGCUGUGUGUGUGUUCCGAACGUGACCAGAGCCUAUAAGGCCUCAAGCAUUGUUUUGUUUUGUUUUGUUUUGUUUUGUUUUCUCAUUUCCCAGCUUUGUCUUGUGUCCUCCCCACUGGCCGACUGGCGCCUGGGUCUUCUUUUCGUCCCUGAUGGUCAAAGUUCUUUCCCUGCCUUAGGGCCUAGAAUCCCCCCACCACACCCACACUCACACACACACACAUACACACACACACACGCAAGCCAGCCCCAUUCUCCUCUCUCAGAUUAGCCUGGGGUCUCUCUCGAGAGAUUUUCCUGUGACCGCAUCAGCCUUUAAUUUCAAUUUCUAUUUAUUUAUUUAUUUAUUUAUUUAUUUAUUUAUUUAUUUAUUUUAUUUAUUUAUUUAUAAUAAAUAAAAUAUCAGCCUUUAAUUUCAAUU